rnacentral:rRNA from 1 species
AGAAUCAACGCUGGCGGCGUGCCUAACACAUGCAAGUCGAACGAGAAAGUGGAGCAAUCCAUGAGUAAAGUGGCGCACGGGUGAGUAACACGUGACUAACCUACCCUUGAGUGGGAAUAACUUCGGGAAACCGAGGCUAAUACCGCAUAACACCUACGGGUCAAAGGAGCAAUUCGCUUAAGGAGGGGUCGCGGCAGAUUAGUUAGUUGGCGGGGUAAUGGCCCACCAAGACGGUGAUCUGUAU